rnacentral:rRNA from 1 species
UGGGGAAUCUUCCGCAAUGGACGAAAGUCUGACGGAGCAACGCCGCGUGAGUGAAGAAGGUUUUCGGAUCGUAAAACUCUGUCUUUUGGGGCGAACGUGAGUAUGGUGAACAAUCAUAGUCAGUGACGGUACCAAAGGAGGAAGCCACGGCUAACUACGUGCCAGCAGCCGCGGUAAUACGUAGGUGGCAAGCGUUGUCCGGAAUUAUUGGGCGUAAAGAGCGCGUAGGCGGGAUAGUCAGUCUGUUGUAAAAGUGCGGGGCUCAACCCCGUGAUGGCAAUGGAAACAGCUAUUCUUGAGUGCAGGAGAGGAAAGUGGAAUUCCCAGUGUAGCGGUGAAAUGCGUAGAUAUUGGGAGGAACACCAGUGGCGAAGGCGACUUUCUGGACUGUGUCUGACGCUGAGGCGCGAAAGCCAGGGGAGCGAACGGGAUUAGAUACCCCGGUAGUCCUGGCCGUAAACGAUGGGUACUAGGUGUGGGAGGUAUCGACCCCUUUCCGUGCCGGAGUUAACGCAAUAAGUACCCCGCUGGGGAGUACGGUCGCAAGACUGAAACUCAAAUGAAUUGACGGGGUCAUAGCUGUUUCCUG